AUGGGAUCUCACAUAUUUCAUCAAAAUCCCUUCAUAUUUAGGCUCGAAAUGAAAACAAGCUGCAAUGAUAGAAAUCAAGAAUCUGAUUGAAGAGUAAUUCAAAGGUUGUGAGAGUCUGUGAGGCAAACUAUGAGCAAAGCCAUCUAAUUCUCUUGAUCUCUUUCUGGAUACAGAGUCAUGGAAGUAUUCAAAAAGAGGCCAUUCCUACUGUGAUUCCUUGCAAAGGUAUGACAUAGGGUUGUCUUGUUA